rnacentral:rRNA from 1 species
GGGUCACCGUUUGUUAAGCGCAAAUAUGGAUGACUGUUUUUGCUGACUUCAUUGUUUGGCUUAUAAGAGUUAUCAAAUAUCACUUUGAUUAAAUUAGAGUGCUUAAAGCAAGUGUCUUACUUGAAUAUAAAUGCAUGGAAUGAUGGAAUAUGUUGUUGUUCUAUUUGUUGGUUUUUGAACGAUGAAAUGAUUGAAAGGAACUGUUGGGGGCAUUCGUAUUGUUGUGAGAGAGGUGAAAUUCUUAGACCACAGCAAGACGAACUACUGCGAAAGCAUUUGCCAAGAAUGUUUUCAUUGAUCAAGAACGAAAGUUAGAGGUUCGAAGGCGAUCAGAUACCGCUCUAGUUCUAACCAUAAACUAUGCCAACUAGCAAUUUGCUUAUGUAUGUUUUAUGACUAGGUGAGAGGCCACGGGAAACCAAAGUAGGGUUAUGGGGGAAGUAUGGUUGCAAAGCUGAAACUUAAAGGAAUUGACGGAAGGGCACCACCAGGAGUGGAGCCUGCGGCUUAAUUUGACUCAACACGGGAAAACUUACCUGGUCCUGACACUAGAAGGAUUGACAGAUUGAUAGCUCUUUCUUGAUUUGGUGGAUGGUGGUGCAUGGCCGUUCUUAGUUGGUGGAGUGAUUUGUCUGGUUAAUUCCGAUAACGAACGAGACUCUAGCCUAUUAAAUAACACACAGAAUCAUGUCUUCUGCGGUGUUUCUUAAUGGGAUCAAGUG